UUGGUUCUUGCGGCCGCGACGCGGCGUGGCGCUGGGAGUGAAGGGAUACGGGAAGGAGAGAAACCUUGCGGCAGCUGAUUGGGUGGGACGAUCUCGCGAGAGCGUGGGCUUUCCGGCUUCUUCCUGGCAGCGGCGGUGGGUGUGCUUGCUUUCACUUCCGGGUGCUACGCGCGGCUGGUAGCGGAGGGGGUCGGGGCGCCUGUGGGCUCUGGGAGAGCGACUCGGUUUGGAGACGGAGGCCCAGAUCCAGAGCUGGGGAACGAGAAUGAGGACCGGGAACCACGGCUAGGCCUAGGGCUCAGGACCAGGCCCAGGGAUCAGGGCCCAAGAUCUGACACCAGCCCCAAAGACUGGGAUUCGGGACAGAGGCUCAGGGGCUGAAAGCCGGAAACCGGUUGUAGGGCCCAGGAACGGAGCCCGGGGAUGGGGAACAGGCAGUCAGGCUGGGAAAUGAGGACUGGCCCUGGAAACUACGCCCAGAACCCAUGGCUGGGGAGCCAGACACAAGGGCCAGACUGAGACCCAAGUGCUUGGCCCAGUUUUUAGUCUCUGAAUCAGAGACUGAGGCUUAGAGUCCAGACCCUGUAACGGUAAAACCUUGUGAAAGAGCCAAAACGUGAAAUCAUCUCUGAAUAGAUAAAUGAUUAGCAACAGAUUGGAGAUGGAGGAGAAUCACAGUUCCUCGCCUGCUGUUUCUGAUUCUGUGUAGCAGGACUUUAAAAGCCUAUUUUGAGAGUCCUCCCCAUUUCUGUUGGUGGUGUUUUAUUUUAAGUAAUUUUGACUGUGGGGCCUAGAAGCUUGUGCAAAUUUGGGAGAUUCCGUAGCCAAAUAAACUAAAAGAGAUAAUCACUCAGUGAGGUAACUGCUUUUACUAACAUCUUUCUCUCUCCUCUCUCUCCUCCCUCUCCACCUUCUCUGCGACCCCUGAGCAACAGGGGAAGAACAGAACAAAGAUCAAAGAAAGUCUGGUGGCUUUUACUACUGCACUGUAAAUGAGAUUGAAGAAAGCAUACAAGGAUUGCUGCUUUUGUGCACUCUGGACAUUGAGUGAUGCUUGAGGCCAUUGGUGAUGUCUGUCAGAGUUCUUAGAAAAAAAGGGACUGAGACCUGACUCUGCUCAGCACAUCUCCGCUGUCCCCACCACACACCAUAAUGAGCUUGGAGCAGAGAAUAAAAGCAAGAAAAAUCAGAACAGGAGUUCAGAAAAAAAAGUUUCUAACUAAACACUCAGGACAGAGCCUGCAAUUAGCAGAAGAUAAAUUAGUAUCCCAGUUGGGGAUAUAAAGAGUAAGCUGUUAACUUAAAGGAUACUCCACCCCAGAGGGAUGCUGCCUUCUCUAGAAUAAUUUUCAUCUCAUUAAAAUUCAAGUCUCCUCUCCUUACAUUUAAUCACAUUUCAUUACCCACAGCUCCCUCGCUGAGACAUCUCUUGGUUGAACUUCAGUCAGGACCUGUGGUAAAGCUGCUGGAAGUGAGAGCGCUUACCUUUCAGAAUCUUCUUGAGAUGAGACAGAAGACCUCUGAGUCACUGAAGGUCAAAAUAAUCCACCUUUCCAUUAUAGAAGAGUUGAGCAGGGACAUAUGCCUCUAAAGCAGAGAAGAAAAUUUGUUUGCCCCAUCCAUCCCAUACAUAGGAUGCAGAUACUAGCACUAACAGGUGAUCAAUCAGAGGUUCAGGCCAUGACUCAGCAGUUCCCAUACAGCACACCAAAGGUCAAGCAGUCAUCAGCUUUGUCCUGGCUCUCCCUGGGUCAAAGGUGAGUGUCCGUCAGCCCUCAGUCCUGCCUCAGCAGUCCUGCAGUUGUUUGGCUGUUGUUCUGCUAACCCUUGCACAGCAGGGCUUACCUAGGAACAUGGUCCUUUCUGUUUCGGAAGCUCCCUGCCAGCAGUAGGCUGGUGGUGCUCUGAAGCCUUCAAAUCCAGCUCUGAGUCUCCCAGAUUGGGUUUUGCUCUCAGAUGGGGCUUCAGACAUGGGAAAGAGGUUUCAAGCUCUGGUACUUGGGUUUGGAACUGAAAAGGAUGUUCCUGAUCUGAAAUAAGGCUCUGGGCCCUCCAGCCAAGGCUCUGAGCCUUGAAAGGAAAAACCAAAAAAAGACUACAGCGAAAAUUUGCACCCUGAGGUGAGGCUCAAUGCCUCUGUAAUGUGGAAAGGAGUCUUUAUUUUGAAGCCUCACACCCCAGUGUGAGGAGCCCAAAGCCUCAUGUCAGUGUACAAAGCCUCCUCCUGCAGCCCAAACUUCUGAUUUAAAGACUCCAAGCAUUUUAUCCUUAAGAGAGGAUAAAAAAGGGUCCAAAGCUUCUUGCCAUGGGCCUCAUGGCCCUUUUGGUUUUGUUCCCAGACUUUCAUUUAUUGGAAUGUAGCUUCAUUUAAGGGCUCUGUUCAACCUCCCAUUUUUGGGGUUCUAAACUAUUUCACCAUUAACAUUCAUUUUACCACACUGUAGCAAUGUCAUAACUGCAGAUAGACACGCGCCUCAGAGAUGGCAGUUCAGUGUGCAGAGAGGAGCCACUGUUCAGGUGAUGCCAACGUCUGCCAGGUUUUAGGGCUCCCCUGCAGCUAUAACUUGCAUUAUUUUUGUAAGGCAGCUACAUUAUCAAGCUGUGAAUAAUGCUCAUUGAUUAGUAAUCUUUAAAUGCUCAGCAUAAAAUCUGUUAUUUUCUUUUUGUUGUAUGUUGUGUCUUUGCAGGAGUAGUGUAAACUUUAGAAAUGUGUCUUUCUCAGCCUGACAAAGGGAGUACCCAGCUGGGGUGGGGUUAUGGUGCUGCCCAGCACCCACAAAGCAAAGUCUCUUUGCAGUUGCUCACAACAAAACUGUGAGGCAAUGGCAUUUUUCUCCAUUGUAGGUUGGCACCUGUUGGAAUCCCUUAAAAUUCAGCAGUUUUCCCUUGCCCUCCAGCCUGAUCUUCAUGCAUUCAUUGUUUUGUUUGUUCAAAUAAAUAUAUGAAGCUU